rnacentral:rRNA from 1 species
CUUACCUAUCAGAGGGGGAUAACCCGGCGAAAGUCGGACUAAUACCGCAUGAAGCAGGGGCCCCGCAUGGGGAUAUUUGCUAAAGAUUCAUCGCUGAUAGAUAGGCAUGCGUUCCAUUAGGCAGUUGGCGGGGUAACGGCCCACCAAGCCGACGAUGGAUAGGGGUUCUGAGAGGAAGGUCCCCCACAUUGGUACUGAGACACGGACCAAACUCCUACGGGAGGCAGCAGUGAGGAAUAUUGGUCAAUGGCCGAGAGGCUGAACCAGCCAAGUCGCGUGAGGGAUGAAGGUUCUAUGGAUCGUAAACCUCUUUUAUAAGGGAAUAAAGUGCGGGACGUGUCCCGUUUUGUAUGUACCUUAUGAAUAAGGAUCGGCUAACUCCGUGCCAGCAGCCGCGGUAAUACGGAGGAUCCGAGCGUUAUCCGGAUUUAUUGGGUUUAAAGGGUGCGUAGGCGGCCUUUUAAGUCAGCGGUGAAAGUCUGUGGCUCAACCAUAGAAUUGCCGUUGAAACUGGGGGGCUUGAGUAUGUUUGAGGCAGGCGGAAUUCGUGGUGUAGCGGUGAAAUGCAUAGAUAUCACGCAGAACCCCGAUUGCGAAGGCAGCCUGCCAAGCCAUGACUGACGCUGAUGCACGAAAGCGUGGGGAUCAAACAGGAUUAGAUACCCUGGUAGUCCACGCAGUAAACGAUGAUCACUAGCUGUUUGCGAUACACUGUAAGCGGCACAG